rnacentral:rRNA from 1 species
AGUGAACGCUGGCGGUAGGCCUAACACAUGCAAGUCGAACGGCAGCACAGUAAGAGCUUGCUCUUACGGGUGGCGAGUGGCGGACGGGUGAGGAAUACAUCGGAAUCUACUUUUUCGUGGGGGAUAACGUAGGGAAACUUACGCUAAUACCGCAUACGACCUACGGGUGAAAGCAGGGGAUCUUCGGACCUUGCGCGAUUGAAUGAGCCGAUGUCGGAUUAGCUAGUUGGCGGGGUAAAGGCCCACCAAGGCGACGAUCCGUAGCUGGUCUGAGAGGAUGAUCAGCCACACUGGAACUGAGAAACGGUCCAGACUCCUACGGGAGGCAGCAGUGGGGAAUAUUGGACAAUGGGCGCAAGCCUGAUCCAGCCCUACCGCGUGGGUGAAGAAGGCCUUCGGGUUGUAAAGCCCUUUUGUUGGGAAAGAAAAGCAGCAGGUUAAUACCCCGCUGUUCUGACGGUACCCAAAGAAUAAGCACCGGCUAACUUCGUG